rnacentral:rRNA from 1 species
AGAACGAACGCUGGCGGCAGGCUUAACACAUGCAAGUCGAACGAAUGCAGCAAUGCAUUAGUGGCGCACGGGUGAGUAACGCGUGGAUAUCUGCCUUUUGGUUCGGGAUAACCUUGGGAAACUAGGGCUAAUACCGAAUGGUUCCUACGGGAUAAAGAUUUAUCGCCAAAAGAUGAGUCCGCGUACGAUUAGCUAGUUGGUGAGGUAAUGGCUCACCAAGGCGACGAUCGUUAGCUGGUCUGAGAGGACGAUCAGCCACACUGGGACUGAGACACGGCCCAGACUCCUACGGGAGGCAGCAGUGGGGAAUAUUGGACAAUGGGGGCAACCCUGAUCCAGCCAUGCCGCGUGAGUGAUGAAGGCCUUCGGGUUGUAAAGCUCUUUUGGCGGGGACGAUGAUGACGGUACCCGCAGAAUAAGCCCCGGCUAACUUCGUGCCAGCAGCCGC